AACGUAGGAGACAAACGUUAUCCGGAUUUACUGGGCGUAAAGGGCGCGUAGGCGGCCACCGCAAGUCGACUGUGAAAUCUCCGGGCUUAACCCGGAAAGGUCAGCCGAUACUGCGGGGCUAGAGUGCAGAAGGGGCAACUGGAAUUCUCGGUGUAGCGGUGAAAUGCGUAGAUAUCGAGAGGAACACCUGCGGCGAAGGCGGGUUGCUGGGCUGACACUGACGCUGAAGUGCGAAAGCUAGGGGAGCGAACGGG
rnacentral:rRNA from 1 species